rnacentral:misc_RNA from 1 species
GAUGAAGAACGCAGCGAAAUGCGAUAAGUAAUGUGAAUUGCAGAAUUCAGUGAAUCAUCGAAUCUUUGAACGCACCUUGCGCCCUUUGGCUAUUCCGAAGGGCAUGCCUGUUUGAGUAUCGUGAACACCUCAACUCUCAUGGUUUGCCAUGAUGAGCUUGGACUUUGGGGGUUUUGCUGGCCUUUGGUCGGCUCCUCUCAAACGGAUCAGCUUUCCAGUGUUUGGUGGCGUCACGGGUGUGAUAACUAUCUACGCCUGUGGUUUUCUGCCAGAUAACCUUCAGCGAUGGAGGUUCGCUGGGGCUCAUAAAUGUCUCUCUUCAGUGGAGACAGCUUUUUGGACGUUUGAUCUCAAAUCAGGUAGGACUACCCGCUGAACUUAAGCAUAUCAAUAAGCGGAGA